ensembl:lncRNA
GUCAGUGUCAGCUUUGGCCACAUGACUUUAUUACAAUACAUUUUUUGUUAAAACAUGACAUUAUAAACCACAAUAGAAUUUUAAAAGAAAACCUUAUUUCUCCGCUGUGCUCUAUCCCUUUAAUUCUGAUAUAAUUACUGUCUCAUUACAGUUAUUAAUCAUAAUGUAGAUGACACAACCAAUGCCUGGUGAUAGGCUAUCACCCAUCCAUCAUAUUUACACUAAGAGCCCUUAUCAUGAACUCGUUAUUCAGAACUAUAUUCCCUCACUAAGUGUUUUUUACAGAGUGUGUUCAUGUACUUGGAAAUGGUAUUUACACGUCUUUGGUGUAGUGGACAGACAGAGACAGACAGCCAGAAAGAGACAGCCAGAGACAGACAGAGACUUAAGGCGUGGCAGUAUAUAUAAGAUACAACUCUGUUCCAACAUUUUAGAGAUGCAUCCUUCUUUCUUUCCUUCCUUCCUUCCUUCCUUCCUUCCUUCCUCUAAGUGGAAGGAAAGCUCAUAACAAUGUCUGGAACAGACCGAAUGGAAUGGCAUCAAACCAGUGGUGUAAAGUCCUUAAGCCUCUGGCCUGGCAGACUCACUAAACACAAAUGCUUCGUCUGUAUGUAUGAGUGUUGGAGUGUGUCCCUGGCUACCUGUCAAUAAAAAUAAAAUAAAAAAUUGUGCAGUCUGGUUUGCUUAAUAAAAGGAAUUUGAAAUGGUUUAUACUUCUACUUUUGAUACUUAAGUACAUUUUAGCAGUUACAUUUUUCUUUUAAAACCAAAUACUUUUAGACUUUAACUCAAGUAGUAUUUUACUGGGUGACUUUUACUUUUACUUGAGUCAUUUCCUAUUAAGGUAUCUUUACUUUUACUUGAGUCAUUUCCUAUUAAGGUAUCUUUACUUUUACUUGAGUCAUUUCCUAUUAAGGUAUCUUUACUUUUACUUGAGUCAUUUCCUAUUAAGGUAUCUUUACUUUUACAAAAGUUGUUUAAUUGAAUACUUUUCCCACCAUUGCAUCAAACACAGAACCCUUUGUUAGAUGUGUUUCAUACAAUUCCACUGAUUCCACUCCAGUCAUUCCAACAAAAGCCCGUCCUCCCCAAUUAAGGUGCCACCAACCUCCUGUGCUCUGUCCCUUUAAUUCUGAUAUUAUGACUGUCUCAUUACAGUUAUUAAUCAUAAUGUAGAUGACACAACCAAUGCCUGGUGAUAGGCUAUCACCCAUCACUUGUUACAGUAUUAACAACAAGCCUGUUUUAUCUACUACAAUAUUUACACUAAGAGCCCUUAUCAUGAACUCGUUAUUCAGAACUAUAUUCCCUCACUUAGUGUUUUUUACAGAGUGUGUUCAUGUACUUGGAAAUGGUAUUUACACGUCUUUGGUGCAGUGGACAGACAGAGACAGACAGAGACAGACAGACAGAGACUUAAAGGUGUGGCAAUUUGAAUGCUCUUAUAUAAGAUACAGCUCUGUUCCAACAUUUUAGAGAUCCUUCCUUCCUUCCUUCCUUCCUACCUACCUACCUACCUACCUACCUACCUACCUACCUUCCUCAAAGUGAUGUCUUACCUAACUACACUGGAUAGGUGAAGAUUUUGUGGUGGAAAUAUCACUCAGACCCAAUCCAACUCUCUAAGGCCAGACCCAAUCCAACUCUCUAAGGUCAGACCAAAUCCAACUCUCUAAGGUCAGACCAAAUCCAACUCUCUAAGGUCAGACCCAAUCCAACCCUCUAAGGUCAGACCCAAUCCAACCCUCUAAGGUCAGACCCAAUCCAACCCUCUAAGGUCAGACCAGGAAGUAAAGGAACUGAAGGAUGCAUGUUUUCAAGGAACCUGUAUUCACACAGGGCUGAAACAAAACAGUCUCAAUGUCAACUUGUCAUCUAAAGUACUGCUGAUUAAUUAAUAAAAUACUUUUUGUAAAGACCUCUCUCUCUCUUUCUCUGUCUCUCUCUCUUUCUUACUGACUGUCGGUCUGUCUUGUUCCAGCUCCUUCAAUCUGUAUUUUCCCUCUCUCCCCUUCUCUCUCUCUCUCUCUCUCUCACCCUCUCUCUCUCUGUCUCCCUCUCCCUCCCCCUCUCUCUCUCUCUCUCUCUUUCCCCCCCUCCCCUCUCUC